rnacentral:rRNA from 1 species
AUUGAACGCUGGCGGCAGGCCUAACACAUGCAAGUCGAAAGAGUGGCGGACGGGUGAGUAAUGUCUGGGAAACUGCCUGAUGGAGGGGGAUAACUACUGGAAACGGUAGCUAAUACCGCAUACCAUCGGAUGUGCACAGAUGGGAUUAGAUAGUAGGUGGGGUAAAAGCUCACCUAGCCGACGAUCCCUAUCUGGUCUGAGAGGAUGACCAGCCACCCGGUAACGAGUCCACGGUCCCGACUCCUACGGGAGGCAGCAGGGGGGAAUAUUGCACAAUCGGCGCAAGCCUGAUGCAGCCAUGCCGCGUGUAUGAAGAAGUCCUUCGGGUUUUAAAGUACUUUCAGCGGGGAGGCGUUACCCGCAGAAGAAGCACCGGCUAACUCCGUGCCAGCAGCCGCGGUAAUAC